rnacentral:rRNA from 1 species
UACGAAGGGGGCUAGCGUUGCUCGGAAUCACUGGGCGUAAAGCGCACGUAGGCGGACUCUUAAGUCGGUGGUGAAAUCCUGGAGCUCAACUCCAGAACUGCCUUCGAUACUGGGAGUCUCGAGUCCGGGAGAGGUGAGUGGAACUGCGGAGUGUAGAGGUGAAAUUCGUAGAUAUUCGCAAGAACACCAGUGGCGAAGGCGGCUCACUGGCCCGAUACUGACGCUGAGGUGCGAAAGCGUGGGGAGCAAACAGG